AUUGAACGCUGGCGGCAGGCUUAACACAUGCAAGUCGAACGAGUGGCGGACGGGUGAGUAAUGCUUGGGAAUCUGCCUUAUGGAGGGGGAUAACUACGGGAAACUGUAGCUAAUACCGCGUACCAUCGGAUGUGCCCAGGUGGGAUUAGGUAGUUGGUGGGGUAAAGGCUCACCAAGCCGACGAUCUCUAGCUGGUCUGAGAGGAUGACCAGCCACACUGGGACGGAGACACGGCCCAGACGCCUACGGGAGGCAGCAGUGGGGAAUAUUGCGCAAUGGGGGCAACCUGAUGCAGCCAUGCCGCGUGAAUGAAGAAGGCCUUCGGGUUGUAAAGUUCUUUCGGUAGGGAGGCGUUAACUACAGAAGAAGCACCGGCUAACUCCGUGCCAGCAGCCGCGGUAAUAC
rnacentral:rRNA from 1 species